AAGACGCCAGAUACAAUCGAUGAUGUCAUCUUUGUAAUCGAGGGGACGACGGAGGUGAGGAAGGGGAAGAAGCGUGCUGCUGAUAUGCCAGAGCAGGUGGUCAGCAAAAGGUCGAGAUUGCCGUUACAGUACGUCAUCUCUCCCUUCAUGGUUGAGGCGAAGAGGAGUUCGUCGAUGGGACAUACCCCAUUCUUUUUUAGGAGGUGGACCAUGUCAAAUGAAAAGCAUUCGAGAUGGAGUGGAGAAAAUUUUUCACCUGGUAAGUAUUGUAUGAUUUUAAUAAAGUACGCUACACUAACUCGUAUAUGCUUCUUUUAACAUCUCUAUUUUUUUCAGAGCUAACCAUACAAUAACUUGAAGGACGAUAUUGGACGCUUACAAGUGAUUCUAUAAUAUCACCCCUUUGGGGGCUUAGCUUGUUGACAAU
rnacentral:lncRNA from 1 species